rnacentral:misc_RNA from 1 species
GAUGAAGAACGUAGCAAAAUGCGAUACUUGGUGUGAAUUGCAGAAUCCCGUGAACCAUCGAGUUUUUGAACGCAAGUUGCGCCCGAAGCCUUUUGGCCGAGGGCACGUCUGCCUGGGCGUCACGCAUCGCGUCGCCCCCCACAAUUCUUCGUAAAGGGAACAUGUGUUUUGGGGGCGGAUAUUGGUCUCCCGUGCUCAUGGCGUGGUUGGCCGAAAUAGGAGUCCUUUCGAUGGACGCACGAACUAGUGGUGGUCGUAAAAACCCUCGUCUUUUGUUUCGUGCUGUUGCUCGCAAGGUAAACUCUUUAAAAACCCCAAUGUGCCGUCUCUUGACGAUGCUUCGACCGCGACCCCAGGUCAGGCGGGACUACCCGCUGAGUUUAAGCAUAUCAAUAAGCGGAGGA